AAUGUAUCUGCAGAGGAGAAAAAGGAGAGUGCAAACAGCCAGAUGAGAGAAAGAAGAGACACCUGCAUAAUCAGAGAGAUCAUUUAACCAACCGUCUUCCAAAGGAUUCAUGGGAAACAGCAUCCUAACAAAAAACCCAUACAAUGGCCUACACCUCAAAAAUAAGUUCCUGAGCAUCACCAAUAGAAGGCUGCUAUAAAUAAAUAAAGCAGGCUGGAUGACGUGUCUGGAACAGAAGAGUUGCUUACUCAACCAGCCCCUCAACCCUUAAAAAUACCUCCCUGGUUUGGAAUAUGAACUGAAGGGGAGUCUCCAGGAUUACAAACAGAUGCUCAUCAAAGGCAAGCAAAGUCUGCAUCCAGUCUGCUCCGAAGAGAUGGAGACUCCUGAAUAUGCCAAAAGGGAAUGUUGUGUCAUUUGUGAGCUUGUAAAAAAUGCAACAUUUCUAUUAAAUCAAGUCUGGCUUCAUUUUCACUCCCAGUGGAAUCAAGAGAGGUUGUACCAGGUAAGAGAUUCAACGAGUUACUAUGUCAUUAUUGAACACUAGGAGUGAAUAAAUAUAAGCUUUUGAAACACUUGCCUCUCAUGUGGUAGAACGAGCUGCAAAUUAAGUCUUCCCCCAUCUCUUCACCAUUUACACUUGUAUACCUUUACAAUUGAGGGAUCAUCCA